UACGAAGGGUGCAAGCGUUAUUCGGAUUUAUUGGGUGUAAAGGGUGCGUAGACGGCAUGUUAAGUCCGCUGUUAAAUUUCCCAGCUUAACUGGGAGCAAGCGGUGGACACUGAUGUGCUAGAGGAUGGAAGAGAGAAGUGGAAUUCCCGGAGUAGCGGUAAAAUGCGUAGAUCUCGGGAGGAACACCAAUGGCGAAGGCAGCUUCUUGGUCCAUAUCUGACGUUGAGGCACGAAAGCGUGGGGAGCAAACAGG
rnacentral:rRNA from 1 species